GCAGUAGUGGCCGACUGGUUAAGGCGAUGGACUUGAAAUCCAUUGGGGUCUCCCCGCACAGGUUCGAAUCCUGUCGACCGCG
rnacentral:tRNA from 1 species